rnacentral:sRNA from 1 species
UUAGGAAGAUUGAAAAAAAUGUUUGGUUUGGAUAGGCCUCUAUUUUGAUUGACAGAUUAAAUUCUAAAACCAUUUCUCUACUACACAUGUCCCUGUCAUAGUAUGUCUAAGAUUAAUCAAGUGUAUGCCCAAUUAUGUGUAGGCAUAAGAUGAUAAGUAAUUUUCUCUAAAAGCUCACUUGGAGCUACUGCUUUGCCUUACAGUGUCUACAACCCAAACCAGACUAAGCUCUUGUAUGUGGACAUAACCAAAAUAUGACUGAGUAGAACCUGCUAAGAUUGUGUGGUCAUGUAGGGGAAUAUAAACCUACUCUGUUAUUUGAAAUGGGUUGUGGAUAUAGUUUGAUGAGGUCCAGGUUUCUUUUUUUCCAGUAUUCAAGGUCUUUAUUUAACUAUAACAGCAACCGUUGGUGAGGAUUUUUUUCCUAGUUCCAACCACCUGCUUCUUUGGCAGGACAGGGAAAACAAACCGGUCAUGGAAUCACACACGGUCUUAGGAUGGCAUUGCUGACAGUGACUGAGAGGAGUUGGGGGGUUGGGAGGACAGGACAGCACACCAGAGGAACAAAGGGGAGGCCAGGGAAAGCGCUGGCGGGCUCUGAAACCCCAUCCCACACGGCUGGGACUGCAGCAUAAAGAUAAACUGCAGAGAACAUAAAGAUGCUAAAAAUGGACAACUGGGGACCAGAGGCCUUGGAGGCUCCUCAAGUCACCUUAAGGAUUACUGGAGCUGGCCCGCGUGCCAUUACCAUUACGUAGGGGUAGGGUAAAAGCAUUGUGUGGGCCUGUGUGCUCCCCAUGGGCCCUGCCUCCUGCCGCUAUCCCCCAGCUCAGGGCUGGGCAGUUUUCAGAAGGCUGAAGUGGAGAGGAAGGGGUGUAGAGGCCAGCAUGAGCAUCUUGUACUGGAUCCAUGGGAUCAGGGUCUGAGGCCCUGGUAGGGGCUCCCUUGGGAAACACCAGCACAGCCAUGUGUCUACCAGGCAUCCAGCCUCUCGCUGCCACCCUCCCACCUCACGAACGUGAACAGGAGUCUGUAUCCACUGGGAAAUAUCCCAGAGCAGGAGUCUUUUUCUACUGGGCACACAGUAUGGCCACCAGGGCUACAAGAAGAGCUGAGCAAGCAGGAAGAAACCAUGGCCCCCUGAAGACUAGAGUUACCUUCUGCCAACAGGCACCAGGUCAGGAGCCGCCUAGAGGAAAGCUACAGUUUCAGAGGGUGGCGAAGGCGUCUUGGUUGGUCAACUGGAAAAAUAAGGACCUGUCAGUCAUUCUUACAGUCUUCAGUCAAGUUUCUGUGAGCGAGCCUCAAUAAAGCCACCACGUGGAAACCCAUUACCAGAGCAGGAAACACUGCUAAGCACUGAAGGACCAAGUCAACUGAGGAACCCAGAAUCUCGGGACUAAACGCCAGAGGCUAGGGGUUAGGGGCACCACGCCUACACCAAGUUCAGAUAGAACCUUCUUCCCCAACAAACGGUGUUCCCCGCUACAUGGGAAGGCCUCACCUUCCUGCGGGAAGGAUGGGUCAGUGAUUGAGUUUCGCAGAUUGAUAAAUAGCUGCCGUGGGCAUGGAGUCCAGAAACCACUUCAUGUGGCUUGAGCCACAUGAAGACAGCGGUGCCUUUCUUCUGGAGGCAAUGAACCGGUUCGGCACAACCCCCUCAUGCAGCCAACAUUGAAGGCGGAGAUGGGAAGAAGGUUCCUUCCUUGAUACGUGACUGCCAGCACCAGAGCCUUGUAGGAGCUGGCUGGACUUUCAGUGGAACCCAACUUGAGUGAGAAGGUCUGGGAAGCCCAAGAAGACAGUACCCAAGCCAUCCCCUGCCCCUCCUCAGAUCAGAAAGAAACCCACAAUCCACUAGUACCUCAAGUACACGCUAAACUAGUAUGGCUACAGGAAAGAGAGUGUUAGCAAAGAACAAUGCACCAGUCCCAACAAGAGCUUCUGCCUAAGGACAAUGAGACCGGCUAGCAGGAAGCAGCAGUCGUCCUGUGAGAUCCUGUGAGAUCCGAGGCACUGGUGAGCUACCUUUCAAGCUUCUCUUACAGGUUCUUUUAAGAGCACACUUCCAACAAGACCCUCAGGAGGCGAUACGCUAGUCUACAUGCUGCACUGACCAGAGCUAUCAAGUGCAUGGACAUCUGCAUUCUCAGAUAAAUGCUUCUUCCCUACAGCAUCAGUGUUUGGAAAAGGUGGAAUCACAGUGCCUACCAGACAGUGGUGAAGAGUGGUUCAAGUGCAAGUUUGAGUGGUUCUGUGUAGAGGGAGCCCUGGUUUUGAACAACAGACAUAGAAACAUAAGAAGGUACACUGCUGACGGAAGCUCUCAACUCUUCAUAAUUUAACCCACACUAAAAGGUAAUGCAUACACACUGCCCAAAUAAUUCCUAUAGCUUUAAACAAUGAAUAAAAACUUACUGUAUUCUUCAGAUUUCUAAGACAUCAAACAUUUGAUAAGAGCUCAUUCAUUUUCUGUAAACCAUUUCAAUUGCUUAUUCUUGAUUGCUAUACUAAUAUACACAAACUUUAUAUAUACAUUCAUAGCUAGUUAGGGAAAGCUAAGCAUAAGCAGCCAUUGGAAAUUCUUCAAAUUAAGUAAGCUUGGAGUCAUUUAUAAAGUAUCAUUCAUGUCCUAGACAUAGUAUGUAACAUAAUUUACAAGACUACACAAAAUUCAUCCUGCACACACAAGAUCAGAUUCUUGUUUUGAAACAAUAAAAAUGUAAAGAAUGUUACAAUAAUUUCCCUGAACAUCAGUUGUGCUCCAAUGGCUUUACAGUGUGAAGAAAGCUGAUCUAAUUGUGGCUUAACAGCAGUUAAUGACUGUUAAGGGCUUCAUUCAAUAACAAAUGUUCCUGGUAUUCAUGCUGUAGAAAUGACUGCAGGCAUAGCUUAUUAGGGAAUUAGACUCAGACUAACCAAGCACUAGAAGCAUAAUCGUUGUAUGAGAGAAGGUUAUUUCAGUAUAGCUAGGAAAUCCAGGAAAGCUAAAGAAAUGUGUGCAGGCAACCGGAACAUUUAGACUGAUAAUUUGAGAUGAGUGUUGCUUACUGGGAAUCUACAAAGGCCAGAAAUACCUAUCUUAUUGGUGAUAGUAAGAACAACAUCCCUUGUCUACCUUUGACUUCAGGAACUGCGUUAGAUUUAAGGAGAGUUUUCUAAAGUCUGCCCAUGACUGCUGAACUGGUUUUAUUAAUGCACCAAGUGGCUUCUAAUCACUGACCCUGUAAACACCCCUCCACAGACAAACACAUACCCCCUUGUAAGUGUCUUAUAUCUUUAUGAUAUUUUGAGAAAGCAUGAAAGAAAGAAGACACGAGUACUUUCUGACCACUUUUAAAGUUACCUGGCUCACCAUGGGAGAGCACACAAGUUAGCAGCAUUGAGCAGUUUCUGAGGUUUAUUGACAAUAAAAAAGGCUAGCUUGUGGGAAAAGUUGUAGCAAAAGUGAAUGAGAAAUAAACUACCCCUUUGGAAAAACGAGUCAGCAAUUGCAAAGUUUUAAGGGAAGGCUCCAAAAGGUCUGGACACUGUCUUCCUACCUUAAUGGGCAACCCCUAUUCAGAUGCUUAUGUUAACCUGGCCUUGCAGCCCAUACAUUUUCUUUUUGUCUUGUUUUACAUUUAUAUUUUUUCUCUUAUACAUAUUUUCUUUUUGAAAGUAUAAUUAUAUCACUUCCUCCCUUUUCUUUCUCCUUUAACUCAAUCAUAUACCCCUCCUUGUUUCAAAUUAUGGCCUCUUUUUUAUUAAUGUUUGUUACAUAUAUGUAUAUAUGUAUCUUUGUCUAUAUGUAUUCAAGAUGUAUAAUCAUAUACACAUGAAUUAUAUAGUCAUAUACAUACUACAUAGGUAUAUGUACACAUACAUAAACAUAUAUAUCCUUAAAUAUAACUUCCUAAUUCUGUAUAAUGUUACCUAUGUAUAUUUUUUCAGGGCCAAUCUUUUGGUAUUGGGUGGCCAAUUAGUGUGUUCUUCUUGAAAAAGACUAUUUCUCCCAAUCUCAGCAUUCCUUGGUUGCCUGUAGGUCUUCGUGAAGGAUUAAGGCAGAGUGGGCUUUUUCUUGUCCGGUUUAGUGUGUCAGUUGGAAUUGUCUUUCUUCAACCCAUAUUUAGGCAGUUAUAUGGGGAAGACUUUAUUCUGAAAUGACUGGAAGACACAACCUCACAGUAAACUCUCUGAUCCUCUUGGGUCUUCAAUAUUUUUGCCUCCUCUUUCACAAUGUUCUCUGAGUCUUUGGCAUGGGAGUUGUUUUAUAGAUGUAUUCAUAUAAACUGGGCUUCACAACAUCGCAUUUUGAUUGGCUGUGUUUUUCUGUAAUGGUUUUCAUGGUCUGAACACUCUCAACUGAGUACCAAAACAACAACAAAACAAACAAAUAAACAAGCAAACAAACAAAAGACGCACCGAAACCAAAAACACCUGACUAAACUCCCUUUGGAAGGAAUGUGGCUAUUUAUAGUACAAAAUUCUCAUUAAAAAUCAGUGAACUGGAGACUGGCUUUAUUCAUGGUUCUUUUUUCAAGCUUAAACUGAAUUAAAUAUACAUACCUGUCUUCACUGUCUUCAGAGUAUAUAAACCAUCCUAGGAGGUUUUGUGCUUUGACUUGACUCCAUUCAUAAUCUCUCAGCCUCUGACCUAAAAUAACAACAUCAUCUCUAUAUUAUACAUGUAACAUUCUUUGUAUUAGUGGACGAUCAUCAGAUUUAAGGAUUUUAUUACCAUUGAACAUACAAACACAGGCAAUACUGGAUUACCAAUAGGAAAACUAACCUGGUGAUGGAAGAAUCAAGUUCAAAAUUGCGAAAAUACCAAAUCACAGAUAUUUUAACCUUUAAGGAAAUGCAGAAUUCAUCAUCAUAAGAGAAUUUAAACUUCUGCUUAAUUUUCUUAUCUUCAUUUUACAACUUGAUUUUGAACAUAGGACAUUUUAUCCUAUGGCCCUUCUCAGGCCCAGAAUAUCUUCCUAUGAUUUGUUGAACAUCCCUCUACAAUUGUAUGCUCAUCGGUUCUACAUGCAGCAUUCGGGGCCUCAGUCUGCAGACUCUGUCUUCUCUGCUUUGUGAUGUGCAGUGUCCUGAUUGUCCCUUCAGUCACGGAACACUCCCUUCAUAAGUUUUUUUCACACCACAUUCUCUUUAGUAAAUUAGGGCUUUUUAAUAGAAAUAUUUCUUAAAAAUCACGGAAAAUAAUCUAAAAUUAUUGCUUUAUUCAAAAUCUAAUUUGAUCAGAUAAAACCUAGUUUUAUGUAACCAGUUUGUAUGUGAAACAGUGAUAGCUAUUUAAAACUUACCUUGUCACCGCGGGAACCUGAAGGAAACAGACCGGAUAAACAGUUCUCUGCACCCAAAUC